GGCCUCGAAGGCUCGAACCCAGAAAUCUCCGCCUCUCCGCCCUCUCUGCCUCUCGUUUCGAUUCAAACCCAGAAAUCUCCGCCUCUCCGCCCUCUCGACCUCUCUCUGCCUCUCGAUUUGAAUCAAACCCAGAAAUCUCCGCCUCUCCGCCCUCUCGACCUCUCUCUGCCUCUCGAUUCGAAUCAAACCCAGAAAAUCUCCGCCUCUCCUCCCUCUGCCUCUCGUUUCGAUUCAAACCCAGAAAUCUCCGCCUCUCCGCCCUCUCGACCUCUCUCUGCCUCUCGAUUCGAAUCAAACCCAGAAAAUCUCCGCUUUAUUUGAGCACUGCUCGUCAUUGAUGGCAAGAAACUGAUGAUGAACUGAUGAUGUAUAAGCACAGCAACUCAGCAAGGCAGCAAGCAAAUAUGAAGUGAUGAACUGAUGAUGAGAUCACUUUGAGUCCUUGAACACUUUGUUUUAUCCUAUUGCACCUAGUUAUUGUAUUUUGUAUCAUUUGAAAUUUUGAUUCAUUUGUGUGAAGUGUGAACUGUGAACUAUGAAUUAUUGACUUAAUAUUUGUAUGAA